GAGAAAGCUUAUAAAACAGAAAUGCAGGAUAACACCUAUCCUGAGAUUUUGCGUUCUAAUUUAGGAUCAGUUGUGUUACAAUUGAAGAAACUUGGUAUUGAUGAUUUGGUACAUUUUGAUUUUAUGGAUCCACCAGCUCCUGAAACUCUGAUGAGAGCCCUGGAACUUUUGAAUUAUCUGGCUGCUUUAAAUGAUGAUGGAGAUCUGACUGAAUUGGGAUCCAUGAUGGCAGAGUUUCCUCUAGAUCCACAGCUCGCAAAAAUGGUUAUUGCAAGUUGUGACUACAACUGUUCUAAUGAGGUCCUAUCUAUUACUGCUAUGUUGUCAGGUAAUAGAGGGAAAGGAACAAAAAAAAGCCCAGCUCUUCAAAGUUUGGGUGGACUUCACUUUUGUUUUUGUUUUUUAAUUUUUAGUAUGAUAGUGGAUUUUAUAGAUGGUUUUAAGGAAUUAAUUUUGUUUCCUAAAUACCUUGUAAAUAGCUUCGUAAUGACAUAGUGCUUACAAAAGUAAAGUAAGUCAUUGUGCACAAAAGAUAGUAAAGCAUUGGCUCUCUUGAGUGCUAAUAAAAAUUGCAGUAAGUUUGAGCACAGUUGUAACUGAAUUCUUUGGUCAAAGGUCCAUCACUGCUAUCUUUGUGGUUUUUUUGUUUUUUGUUUUUUACUGCAAGUACAGGAAGAACUUUGCUCUAGUACUUAGCUCUAUUAAAUGUGCCUGUGACAAACUUAA
rnacentral:sRNA from 1 species